AAAUAAUAUAGUACCAGCCCCAUGGGCUUUGGGGGAGGGUGAAAUGAGAUGGGAAACCUUAAGCACUGAGCAGAGUACCUGGCACAUUGUUUAUGUUUAAUAAUAAUAAUAAUAAUAAUAAUAAUAAUAAUGUAGGAAACUUCUGUACUGCAGAGUGGUGUCUUUUUAUGACUAGAACUCAGUUUAUUUUCCCCUUCUCUGAUUAAAAAUAAUGAUAAUAAGAUACUUAUCCCUAAUAUCUGUUUCAGCAGGUGAAUCAGAGGCUGAAUCUCAGUGUGAAUAAAUCAAAGUGGAAAAGCCCAUCUCUUCCAAGCUAAGAAGAAACAAUCAAGAGAGACCUCUCUAUUCUUCAGUUUCAGAAGCUCCACACCUCCUUGCUCCCCUCAGCUCACCUCCUUUUCGAAGACAGCUUGCUGCUGACACCUCACUGCUGACUUCCACAGCCGGCCUCAGCAAACUGUCCCUGGCAAAGCCUCAUGCACUUGGAGGUGCUUGUCAGAGGCGGCCUAGGAUUGGACCUUCCCUUGCGGGAGCUUCCAAAACACCUUCCUCUGCACAGGGGUCAUAAGUUCAGACACAGAAUGAUCCGUGGUAGCACUUUCUCCCUCUGAAAGGAAAUUUCACAGAGACAAGGGAAGAAAUCUAGACUGGAGCAACCAACUGGAGAUUAGAAACUGAAAGUAGGUCUGGAUGAGGAAGAUUGGAGCUGUUGAUAGCAGCAGAAUUCUGAAUUCUCAACCAUUCUUGAGUAAAUGGUGAAAAGAAAAGUCAUAAAGAUUAAUCAUUUCUGACGCUAAAGGAGGCGUUUGUUUUAUUGGCCACCAGAUACGUAUAUAAUCCUUUCCCUUUCUUCUUCCACAGUGCUGUUCUAGAGCAAAGGCAUGGGAGGAAAGGAGGAGACCGAGUAGGGAGGGGUGGAGGCCAGUCUUCAGGGGUGAAAAUGCUAGAGUUUCACAAUGUCUUCCCCUGUCAGCUUCCUGUGUUUCUGUUGUCUUCCUCUAAAACUUCUCUAUUUUUACUGUCAGGCUGAAUGAGCUGGAACAUUCUCAGGAGGAUCUUUGCCUAUUACACAGGAUCUCUCUCUUAACAGACAACUACUUCAUCAUCAUUAAAAAAAAAUGGCGGUAACAAGAUCAGACUAUAUAGACUCUUCUUAAAGU
rnacentral:lncRNA from 12 species